AUGGACCAUUCCAUCCCUUUUUCCCGUGCAUAUGCAUCGGAUUCGGAUGACGAAGGUCCCGAUGAACAAGUUGAUGAGGAGGGGUUCACGGUGAAGGAGGCCAAAGCUUUCGAGAAGGUAUUCGGUCGGGAUCACAAGACACCAUUGUUCAAGGAUGUUAGUCUCGCGGAUGAAGCCGUUGUGGAUGGUGGCAAAUCUAUAUCUCUUAGGGUUAGGCCAAGCUCUCACCGUGAUUUGGGAGACGACAAGAACCGGAUUGCUAAAGGGUGUAAGUUUGAAACCUUCUUGGAAUUGAAGAUGUGGCUCGACAACUACUCGGUUACGCAUUAUCGUCCACACAAGGUGGUGCAUUCGGACGUCAAUGUGCGCUACACGGUUGCAUGUGCAUGUGAAGAUGAAAUAUGUCCGUGGAUUGUGCGUGCAAGACCAUGGAAAGGAGGUCCCGCUUGGCACGUACUGAGUUGUGUGCCAACUCACAUGUGCUGA
rnacentral:rRNA from 1 species